ACCAGUUUCAGUGAACCACGUUUUGUUAUCCCCCGUGCAACCGACAGAUAAAUUGAUUGGGAAUCGGCGUGAAAACCGCGAAAAAGCCGGCGACCACAAAUUGGUAGAGAAAAAGAUAAGAGAAGCGAACGAGAGGACGUGGAGAAGAGAAAAAUAAUUAAUUUGGAAGCAAACUUGGCCAAGGAGGAGACCUUGGGAAAGGUUGUUUCCAUUCCAUCGUUGCGUGUUGCGCGCAUCAUCAGCAUUUCGAUGGUCAAGCACACACACAACCCAUCUGUUCCUGGGUGCUCAGAGACCCCGCUAAUUUCGGCCCCGAAAAGUUCACAGCGUUGCGGCGCGGAUCUUCCACACAAGCCAAUUAUCUCGGGGCCGCUUCAACUUGAAUACAAACGCCACAAAGGAAUGGAGGACGCCACUGCCAAUCGUAAAACAUGAUAUCGUAUAGAUUCAUAUACAAGA